rnacentral:rRNA from 1 species
GACGAACGCUGGCGGCGUGCUUAACACAUGCAAGUCGAACGAAGAGCGAUGGAAGCUUGCUUCUAUCAAUCUUAGUGGCGAACGGGUGAGUAACGCGUAAUCAACCUGCCCUUCAGAGGGGGACAACAGUUGGAAACGACUGCUAAUACCGCAUACGAUCUAACCUCGGCAUCGAGGAAAGAUGAAAGGUGGCCUCUAUUUAUAAGCUAUCACUGAAGGAGGGGAUUGCGUCUGAUUAGCUAGUUGGAGGGGUAACGGCCCACCAAGGCGAUGAUCAGUAGCCGGUCUGAGAGGAUGAACGGCCACAUUGGGACUGAGACACGGCCCAGACUCCUACGGGAGGCAGCAGUGGGGAAUCUUCCGCAAUGGACGAAAGUCUGACGGAGCAACGCCGCGUGAGUGAUGACGGCCUUCGGGUUGUAAAGCUCUGUUAAUCGGGACGAAAGGCCUUCUUGCGAACAGUUAGAAGG